rnacentral:rRNA from 1 species
UACGAAGGGGGCUAGCGUUGCUCGGAAUUACUGGGCGUAAAGCGCACGUAGGCGGUCUGUCACGUCGGCUGUGAAAUCCCGAGGCUCAACCUCGGGUCUGCAGUCGAUACGGGCAAACUAGAGUAUUGCAGGGGAGACUGGAAUUCCUGGUGUAGCGGUGAAAUGCGCAGAUAUCAGGAGGAACACCGGUGGCGAAGGCGGGUCUCUGGGCAAUAACUGACGCUGAGGAGCGAAAGCGUGGGGAGCGAACAGG